rnacentral:tRNA from 1 species
GCCCGGGUAGCCCAACGGAAGAGGCGCCGCGUUCAGAGCGCGGAGGAUGGGGGUUCGAAUCCCUCUCCGGGUA